rnacentral:rRNA from 1 species
GAAAAGCAGGGGAUCGCAAGACCUUGCGCUUUUAGAGCGGCCGAUGCCUGAUUAGCUUGUUGGUAAGGUAAAGGCUUACCAAGGCUUCGAUCAGUAGCUGGUCUGAGAGGACGACCAGCCACACUGGGACUGAGACACGGCCCAGACUCCUACGGGAGGCAGCAGUGGGGAAUUUUGGACAAUGGGGGCAACCCUGAUCCAGCCAUGCCGCGUGAGUGAAGAAGGCCUUCGGGUUGUAAAGCUCUUUCAGCCGGAACGAAACGGUUACGGUUAAUACCCGUGACUAAUGACGGUACCGGAAGAAGAAGCACCGGCUAACUACGUGCCAGCAGCCGCGGUAAUACGUAGGGUGCGAGCGUUAAUCGGAAUUACUGGGCGUAAAGCGUGCGCAGGUGGUUUGUAAGUCAGAUGGAAAGCCCG